GUGCCAGCAGCCGCGGUAAUACGUAGGGCGCAAGCGUUGUCCGGAAUUAUUGGGCGUAAAGAGCUCGUAGGCGGUCUGUCGCGUCUGCCGUGAAAACCCGAGGCUUAACCUCGGGCUGGCGGUGGAUACGGGCAGACUAGAGGUAGGUAGGGGAGAAUGGAAUUCCCGGUGUAGCGGUGAAAUGCGCAGAUAUCGGGAGGAACACCGGUGGCGAAGGCGGUUCUCUGGGCCUUACCUGACGCUGAGGAGCGAAAGCAUGGGGAGCGAACAGGAUUAGAUACCCGGGUAGUCC
rnacentral:rRNA from 1 species